UGGGGAAUUUUGCACAAUGGGCGCAAGCCUGAUGCAGCCAUGCCGCGUGUAUGAAGAAGGCCUUCGGGUUGUAAAGUACUUUCAGCGGGGAGGAAGGCGAUGAGGUUAAUAACCUUGUCGAUUGACGUUACCCGCAGAAGAAGCACCGGCUAACUCCGUGCCAGCAGCCGCGGCAAUACGGAGGGUGCAAGCGUUAAUCGGAAUUACUGGGCGUAAAGCGAGCGCAGACGGUUANUUAAGCAGGAUGUGAAAUCCCCGGGCUCAACCUGGGAACUGCGUNCUGAACUGGGUGACUAGAGUGUGUCNNANGGAGGUAGAAUUCCACNUGUAGCAGUGAAAUGCGUAGAGAUGUGGAGGAAUACCGAUGGCGAAGGCAGNCNCNUGGGAUAACACUGACGUUCAUGCUCGAAAGCGUGGNNNNCAAACAGGAUUAGAUACCCUGGUAGUCCACGCCCUAAACGAUGUCAAUUAGCUGUUGGGCAACUUGAUUUGCUUAGUAGCGUAGCUAACGCGUGAAAUUGACCGCCUGGNGAGUACGGUCGCAAGAUUAA
rnacentral:rRNA from 1 species